GUGCCCUAAAUCAAACACAACGCACACACACAGAAGGAAAGAAAAGGGGAGAAACGAGGAACAGGGGGAGCUCGAGGGGGAAAUGGAGAAGAAGAGGAAGGAGAAGCGAGGGAGGGGAUGGCGCCGAGGAGGGUUUUGCGGUCGUCGUUGUCAUCGUCAGGUGAAGGUAGAGGGGUGACCGAGAGAGAGUCGGAUGUGAGGAAGAGAACGACAUGCGUGAGAGGGAGACAGAGGCUGCGACGGAGCUGUCCCGCCGCCAACGCCUCGUCGUCGUCGUGCUUCAAGGUCACCGCUGCCGUCUGAGCCGCCGUCAGUUCUGCAUCGUUGAGGGAAGCCCCAGAUGGAGAUGAGGGAGACGCGAGCCAAGGACCGCGACGAGCAGUAGAAGAAGAUGUCACCUUCACUGGAGCCACGAUCGCUGUCACCGUUCUGCCUUCCCCUAAGCCGCCAAUACCACCAUAUUCUUCCAAUCCGCCACACUCACCGCCAACGAAGCUUCUAUUGCCGUCACCGUAGAAAGGGGGUUGCUGCUGCUGUCAUGGCCGUCUUCCUUGCCGCUGUAACUUCAUUCAAUCCUCAACUGUUGGAACUCGCCGCUGUUACCAAUCGAGGCCUCUGUUACUAAUGGUUUACUGCGAUACAAAACAGCGAUGGAGAAAGGGACAAUACUCGCCAGAGGAGGUUGCUGGAGCCGUUGGUCCGAACUGCCCUGCCUUUUCCCUGCUCCGGUGCCACUGCUACUGCUGGAAAGUGAUAAGAAAUGUUGCUGCUGUUGCCAUGGAUUAAGAAAGAGGGGUUUGUCGCAAUUAAUUCCUGCUAGUUCGUCACUCUGAGGUCUUUUUUGAAGGCACGAUAUGCUGUGAUCUUCUUGUAUCGGAGGUAGUGGAUAGUGGUCUCCUGUUAAAGCUUUCUUUCAGCACUAUAUUUGAGUAUCUUCAGAUGCUGCAAAUAAUUUCAAAGCCAAUGAAGGAUAUUGGCCCACGUGCAAUGUUCUAUCUUAUCUGACUUUUAUGUUCCUCAGAAGGAGAUGGUAUAAAAUUGAUAUGUUGGUUCUUUCCAUGAAAGUUUCAUCCCUUAUUAACUUCAAUUUUGGCUUGAAUGAUUUUGUAAUAUGUUAAGAUACAAGAAUAUUAACCAUGUCAAUUUCAACAUCUGUGCUAGAGUUAGUUAUUAUUUAGAGAAUUAGCAUACAGAUAACACUGCAUAACUUAAGUAGUCCUGCUUAGAUUGUGAAAACUGAAAAGUAUAAGCAGAAAGACAUUUAUUGUAUUUUGAAAAAUGAUGAUAUAAUGUGAUUGUGGAUCUUAUGACAA